AGAGUUUGAUCCUGGCUCAGAACGAACGCUAGCGAUGCGUUCUAAGCAUGCAAGUCGAACGGCAAGCGGUAUUUAUACCGCCUAGAGUGGCGAACGGGUGAGUAACACGUGGGUGAUCUACCUUUUAGAUGGGGAUAGCCUUCAGAAAUGGAGGGUAAUACCGAAUACGCUAUUUUCUUUUGAGGAAAUAGGAAAGACGCAAUUGUGUCGCUAAAAGAUGAGCCUGCGCAAUAUUAGCUAGAUGGUGGGGUAAAGGCCUACCAUGGCGACGAUAUUUAGCCGGCCUGAGAGGGUGUCCGGCCACAUUGGGACUGAGAUACGGCCCAGACUCCUACGGGAGGCAGCAGCUAAGAAUCUUCCGCAAUGGGCGAAAGCCUGACGGAGCGACAUCGCGUGGACGAAGAAGGCCGAGAGGUUGUAAAGUCCUUUUAUGUAUGAGGAAUAAGCCGAAGAGUGGAACGCUUUGGCGAUGACGUUAGUAUAUGAAUAAGCUCCGGCUAAUUACGUGCCAGCAGCCGCGGUAAUACGUAAGGAGCGAGCGUUGUUCGGAAUUAUUGGGCGUAAAGGGCGCGUAGGCGGUUAAAUAAGUCUGUAACUAAAGACCUAGGCUUAACUUAGGGAAAGUUAUGGAAACUAUUUAACUAGAAUCCUUCAGGGGAAACUGGAAUUCCUGGUGUAGGGGUGGAAUCUGUUGAGAUCAGGAAGAACACCAAAGGCGAAAGCAAGUUUCUGGGGAGUGAUUGACGCUGAGGCGCGAAAGUGUAGGGAGCAAAUAGGGUUAGAUACCCUGGUAGUCUACACCGUAAACUAUGUACACUAGGUAUUGGAUUGUCGAUGAUUCAGUACUCAAGCUAACGCGAUAAGUGUACCGCCUGGGGAGUAUGCCGGCAACGGUGAAACUCAAAGGAAUUGACGGGGGCCCGCACAAGCGGUGGAGCAUGUUGUUUAAUUCGACGAUACGCGAGGAACCUCACCUGGGUUUGACAUACAGAGGAAUAGCUUAGAGAUAAGUUAGUCGCUUGCGACCUCUGAACAGGUGCUGCAUGGCUGUCGUCAGCUCGUGCCGUGAGGUGUUGGGUUAAGUCCCGCAACGAGCGCAACCCUUGUGUUUAGUUACCAUCAUUAAGUUGGGGACUCUAGACAGACUGCCAGCGACGAGCUGGAGGAAGGUGGGGAUGGUGUCAAGUCAGCAUGGCCUUUAUAUCCAGGGCUACAAACGUGCUACAAUGGUCGGUACAGAGUGAUGCCAACCCGUGAGGGGGAGCAAAUCACUAAAAGCCGAUCUCAGUUCGGAUUAUAGUCUGAAACUCGACUAUAUGAAGUUGGAAUCGCUAGUAAUCGUAUAUCAGAAUGAUACGGUGAAUACGUUCCCGGGCCUUGUACACACCGCCCGUCACACCACCCGAAUUGAAUUUGCCCGAAGAGGCUAGGUUAACCGCAAGGAGGCCGGUCUCGAAGGUGAGUUUGGUAAGGGGGGUGAAGUCGGAACAAGGUA
rnacentral:rRNA from 1 species